rnacentral:lncRNA from 1 species
GCUGCAAUCACUUAAAAUUAUAUUUCAACCAAAAUAAAUUCAGUUGGAAUCCAGAGUGACACCACUUCUGCAAGACAGUGGGUGAACGUCAGUGGAAGGACUGAUAUCAGGUACAGGUUGCUUGCUCAAGGGAAUAUUUUAUUUUAAUUUCUUUAUAAAUGCUUUUUUAAUUUAUGUUUCUCAUGCCCUCUUCUCUGUGCAGGUUCGUUUACCAUCUCCAUGUGGUUUUUGAGGGUCACAAUUCCUCUCCACAAAUUUUCAAACUGGAAAGGAGAGCAGAUUGAAAACUAAUUCCCCCACACCAACCAUUUCCAGGUGUGGGAAGUUCUGUGUAUGGAAUGCAGCUCUCAAUUGACAUGGUCUUUCCUGGUUUCAUUUGGUUUCAUUUGCAUACUGCCUUUCUCUCAGAAACAGGGAGACAAGGUAUCUUACAUUACAAUUUUGAAUCAAUGUUACAAUCUGACAAUAUAUAUAUUGUAGCUAAAGUCCUGUUUGUGUACAUUCUGCAGAGCAAGGCUAAUGACAUCAAGAACAGCUUAAAGGAACUUAUGAGAACAGGAUUUCAGUAUGUACACGUCCCCUUCCAAAGUUCAUCAAAAGUAUUUAGAAGAUCAGAACGCCAUGAUGCAUACUGUCAAUUAAACUGAGAAGAAUAGCUAACCAUGUGCAGGCCGUGAGAUCAGGGGCAUUUGCAACCCCAGAUUAUCUCCAGUUAUUCUCCAGCUUCAUCUUGCAUUCAGAUGCUGCUUCUUUUCAUUCCUGCUCCUGUUGUUCAAUUGGAUCUCACAAAUCCUCCUGCAUGGUGCUCAAGUAAAAGGAGGAUGGCACCUGGAAGUGAUGACUAGAAAUGCCAAGAGACAGUUCUCUUUUAUGGAUGAGUAGUGCAAGCCAACGUGACAAUAACAAAGCAAUGUGAAUGACAGCUUGGAUCAAAUUCAUAAUGACCCGGUUUGUAUAGGCCAGGUGUUAUGUAGAUUGGAGCUUGUUAUUGUGCAUCAUGUUGGCAACCCUGCUGUUCAACUGCUAGUUCCAAGAAAACUGGG